CGUGUAGGCGGAUACGCAAGUCGGUUGUGAAAUCCCUGGGCUCAACCUAGGAACUGCAUCCGAAACUGUGUGUUUUGAGUAAUGGAGAGGGUGGCGGAAUUCCCGGUGUAGAGGUGAAAUUCGUAGAUAUCGGGAGGAACAUCUGUGGCGAAGGCGGCCACCUGGACAUUUACUGACGCUGAGACGCGAAAGCGUGGGGAGCAAACA
rnacentral:rRNA from 1 species